AGGAGCUGAGAUCUAAGAAGGCUAGGUUAGAGGGGAUCACAUUCUUGAAGUGUUUUGAAGAAGGAUUGCCGUCCAUGACCCUUGAGAGCGGUAGAAGCUAGAUCUUUUUUCUUAUUAUCUUUUGUAGGCUCUUGGACUUCUUUAUGUUUUGGAUCAUUAUGGUUGUAGCAUUAACCACUUCUCUCUAACUUUUGGAUGUAUGUUUAGCA